CAGCCGCCGCGGUAAUACCGGCGGCCCGAGUGGCGGCCACUAUUAUUGGGCUUAAAGCGUCCGUAGCCGGGUUGGUUAGUCUCCCGGGAAAUCUGGCCGCUUAAAGGUCAGAAUUCCGGGAGAUACUGCCAGCCUAGGGACCGGGAGAGGCCGAGGGUAUUCCCGGAGUAGGGGUGAAAUCCUAUAAUCCCGGGAGGACCACCUGUGGCGAAGGCGCUCGGCUGGAACGGGUCCGACGGUGAGGGACGAAGGCCAGGGGAGCAAACCGGAUUAGAUACCCGGGUAGUCCUGGCUGUAAACGAUGCGGACUUUGUGUCGGACAAGCUAUGAGCUUGUCCGGUGCCGGAGGGAAACCGUUAAGUCCGCCGCCUGGGGAGUACGGCCGCAAGGCUGAAACUUAAAGGAAUUGGCGGG
rnacentral:rRNA from 1 species